rnacentral:lncRNA from 1 species
GUGGAUGGGAUGUGUUGCAGCAGAAUUUCUUCUUGAAGUCGGAUGGACUGGAGUUGGACGAUGAUGGUAGGUUGAUGAUGGCAGGACCUGCAAGAAAAGUCUCCGAUCGAAUGUGACUCCGAUAAAGACCUUCCAAUACUCAAGUUAGAAUUCUAGACAAUAGAGAGGAGUGAGAGUCUAGUUGGGAGAGAAGAGAUUUCAUCCCUUAGGGGUUCCCUUUGGACCUUUAUUUAUAGGCAGAGGCUGAAGAGCCAUGA